AAUGUGGUCGAGGAAAACAGGCUCUUGAGAGCUCAAAUGGCUAAUACCAUUUCAAGCAAUGAAAGUGCUUUGAAAAAUAUUGAAACAAAAAUGGACAUCUUGUCCCAGACAACUUCACCUGGCAGACGAGUCAGACAGACCGGGCAGAACAAACAUAAAGUGCCCAAAGCUUGCAGUAAUAAUGUCCGAAGAAAACUCAAGGCUCUUAGGAGUGCUGAUGAAAAUAUGCACUUUAGAUUAACUGAAAGCCCCGAUUCUCAGCAAAAUUCACAGCUAUUUAAAAGAGUGGCAGAAGAACUGCAACAUGAAUUUGGUGGUCAGGAAAAUUGUCCUUGGCCAACGGUUGUUUGGCCCUGAAUCUAGAAGGUGAUUGUUGCUUUUUUAUGUUUUAGAGGCGUUUAAGAGGUAUUUCAAGUCAUGCAAAGCAAAACAGAAAAGAGUUGCUCUUGGAACAGAACAGCAACACGUUCAAAUUUGCAGGAGAAGGAGCAGAAAGGAGGAGAAACUAGCGAGAAGAUUAAAAACGAUCGAGAAAAUGGGUUGGAACCAGACGAAAGUGGCAAAGGUGGCAGACGUCAUGAGAAUGGACUAUAUGUCCUCUGAAAAAAGCGAGGUAGACGAGGAAACAAAU